GACGAACGCUGGCGGCGUGCUUAACACAUGCAAGUCGAGCGGUAAGGCCUCUUCGGGGGUACACGAGCGGCGAACGGGUGAGUAACACGUGGGUGACCUGCCCUCAGCUCUGGGAUAAGCCUGGGAAGCUGGGUCUAAUACCGGAUAUGACCUUUCCUCGCAUGGGGUUUGGUGGAAAGUUUUUUCGGCUGGGGAUGGGCCCGCGGCCUAUCAGCUUGUUGGUGGGGUGAUGGCCUACCAAGGCGACGACGGGUAGCCGGCCUGAGAGGGCGACCGGCCACACUGGGACUGAGACACGGCCCAGACUCCUACGGGAGGCAGCAGCGGGGAAUAUUGCGCAAUGGGCGGAAGCCUGACGCAGCGACGCCGCGUGGGGGAUGACGGCCUUCGGGUUGUAAACCUCUUUCGACCCCGACGAAUUUGGACGGUAGGGGUAGAAGAAGCACCGGCCAACUACGUG
rnacentral:rRNA from 1 species